rnacentral:rRNA from 1 species
AACCCGAGAGAGUCGGGCCGUUCCCCGUUCGGGGGACAGGGUGACAGGUGGUGCAUGGUUGUCGUCAGCUCGUGUCGUGAGAUGUUGGGUUAAGUCCCGCAACGAGCGCAACCCCUACGUUUAGUUGCUAACGCGUGAAGGCGAGCACUCUAGACGAACUGCCGUUGACAAAACGGAGGAAGGUGGGAUGACGUCAAAUCAUCAUGCCCCUUAUGUUCUGGGCUACACACGUGCUACAAUGGCCGGUACAGACGGACGCAAAGCCGCGAGGUGGAGCAAAUCCUAAAAAGCCGGUCUCAGUUCGGAUUGCAGGCUGCAAUUCGCCUGCAUGAAGUCGGAAUCGCUAGUAAUCGCAGGUCAGCAUACUGCGGUGAAUACGUUCCCGGGCCUU